rnacentral:rRNA from 1 species
ACGGAAGGCAGCAGUAAGGGAUAUUGCACAAUGGGGGAAACCCUGGUGCAGCAACGCCGCGUGAGGGAAGAAGGUUUUCGGAUUGUAAACCUCUGUUUUCAGUGAAGAAACAAAUGACGGUAGCUGAAGAGGAAGCCACGGCUAACUACGUGCCAGCAGCCGCGGUAAUACGUAGGUGGCAAGCGUUGUCCGGAUUUACUGGGUGUAAAGGGUGCGCAGGCGGGACUGCAAGUUGGAUGUGAAAUACCGGAGCUCAACUCCGGAGCUGCAUCCAAAACUGUGGUUCUUGAGUGAAGUAGAGGUAGGCGGAAUUCCGAGUGUAGCGGUAAAAUGCGUAGAUAUUCGGAGGAACACCAGUGGCGAAGGCGGCCUACUGGGCUUUAACUGACGCUGAGGCACGAAAGCAUGGGGAGCAAACAGGAUUAGAUACCCUGGUA